UACGUAGGGACCAAGCGUUGUCCGGAAUCAUUGGGCGUAAAGAGCGUGUAGGCGGCUUGUUAAGUCUUGCGUGAAAUCUCGGGGCUCACCCCCGAGCGGUCGUGAGAAACUGGCAGGCUAGAGUGCGGGAGAGGAGAGUGGAAUUCCUGGUGUAGCGGUGAAAUGCGCAGAUAUCAGGAAGAACACCCGUGGCGAAGGCGGCUCUCUGGAACGCAACUGACGCUGAGACGCGAAAGCGUGGGGAGCAAACAGG
rnacentral:rRNA from 1 species